CGCAGACGACGCUGGCGGCGUGCCUAAUACAUGCAAGUCGAGCGAAUCUUUGGGAGCUUGCUCCCAUUGGUUAGCGGCGGACGGGUGAGUAACACGUGGGCAACCUGCCUGUAAGACUGGGAUAACUUCGGGAAACCGGAGCUAAUACCGGAUAAUUCUUUUCCUCUCAUGAGGAAAAGCUGAAAGUCGGUUUACGCUGACACUUACAGAUGGGCCCGCGGCGCAUUAGCUAGUUGGUGAGGUAACGGCUCACCAAGGCGACGAUGCGUAGCCGACCUGAGAGGGUGAUCGGCCACACUGGGACUGAGACACGGCCCAGACUCCUACGGGAGGCAGCAGUAGGGAAUCUUCCACAAUGGACGAAAGUCUGAUGGAGCAACGCCGCGUGAGCGAUGAAGGCCUUCGGGUCGUAAAGCUCUGUUGUUAGGGAAGAACAAGUACCGGAGUAACUGCCGGUACCUUGACGGUACCUAACCAGAAAGCCACGGCUAACUACGUGCCAGCAGCCGCGGUAAUACGUAGGUGGCAAGCGUUGUCCGGAAUUAUUGGGCGUAAAGCGCGCGCAGGCGGUCCUUUAAGUCUGAUGUGAAAGCCCACGGCUCAACCGUGGAGGGUCAUUGGAAACUGGGGGACUUGAGUGCAGAAGAGGAAAGCGGAAUUCCACGUGUAGCGGUGAAAUGCGUAGAGAUGUGGAGGAACACCAGUGGCGAAGGCGGCUUUCUGGUCUGUAACUGACGCUGAGGCGCGAAAGCGUGGGGAGCAAACAGGAUUAGAUACCCUGGUAGUCCACGCCGUAAACGAUGAGUGCUAAGUGUUAGGGGGUUUCCGCCCCUUAGUGCUGCAGCUAACGCAUUAAGCACUCCGCCUGGAG
rnacentral:rRNA from 1 species